rnacentral:rRNA from 1 species
AUUGGACGCUGGCGGCAGGCCUAACACAUGCAAGUCGAACGGUAACAGGAAGCAGCUUGCUGCUUCGCUGACGAGUGGCGGACGGGUGAGUAAUGUCUGGGAAGCUGCCUGAUGGAGGGGGAUAACUACUGGAAACGGUAGCUAAUACCGCAUAAUGUCGCAAGACCAAAGAGGGGGACCUUCGGGCCUCUUGCCAUCGGAUGUGCCCAGAUGGGAUUAGCUUGUUGGUGGGGUAACGGCUCACCAAGGCGACGAUCCCUAGCUGGUCUGAGAGGAUGACCAGCCACACUGGGACUGAGACACGGUCCAGACUCCUACGGGAGGCAGCAGUGGGGAAUAUUGCACAAUGGGCGCAAGCCUGAUGCAGCCAUGCCGCGUGUAUGAAGAAGGCCUUCGGGUUGUAAAGUACUUUCAGCGGGGAGGAAGGGAGUAAAGUUAAUACCUUUGCUCAUUGACGUUACCCGCAGAAGAAGCGCCGGCUAACUCCGUG